GUAUAGCUCAGUGGUAGAGCACAUGCUUAGCAUGGUAGAGCACAUGCUUAGCAUGCAUGAGGUCGUGGGUUCAAUCCCCAGUGC
rnacentral:tRNA from 1 species